UACGAAGGUGGAUAGCGGUGUUCGGAUUUACUGGGCGUAAAGGGCGCGUAGGCGGAUUUUUAAGUCGGGGGUGAAAUCCCGGAGCUCAACUCCGGAACUGCCUUCGAUACUGAAAGUCUGGAGCACGGUAGAGGUGAGUGGAAUUCCGAGUGUAGAGGUGAAAUUCGUAGAUAUUCGGAGGAACACCAGUGGCGAAGGUGGCUCACUGGACCGUUGCUGAAGAUAAGGCGCGAAAGCGUGGGGAGCAAACAGG
rnacentral:rRNA from 1 species